GUGAACGCUGGCGGUAGGCCUAACCCAUGCAAGUCGAACGGCAGCACAGUAAGAGCUUGCUCUUACGGGUGGCGAGUGGCGGACGGGUGAGGAAUACAUCGGAAUCUACUUUUUCGUGGGGGAUAACGUAGGGAAACUUACGCUAAUACCGCAUACGACCUACGGGUGAAAGCCGGGGAUCUUCGGACCUUGCGCGAUUGAAUGAGCCGAUGUCGGAUUAGCUAGUUGGCGGGGUAAAGGCCCACCAAGGCGACGAUCCGUAGCUGGUCUGAGAGGAUGAUCAGCCACACUGGAACUGAGACACGGUCCAGACUCCUACGGGAGGCAGCAGUGGGGAAUAUUGGACAAUGGGCGCAAGCCUGAUCCAGCCAUACCGCGUGGGUGAAGAAGGCCUUCGGGUUGUAAAGCCCUUUUGUUGGGAAAGAAAAGCAGCAGGUUAAUACCCCGCUGUUCUGACGGUACCCAAAGAAUAAGCACCGGCUAACUUCGUG
rnacentral:rRNA from 1 species